GGCCUCAUGAAAUGUGGCAUUGUGCUGCUGCUGCAUUUAUAUGUCAAUGCUGCAGCCAGAAUGCCACAUAGGUUUACAACUGGUGUGCUAGCUGAAGUGAAAUGCUUCGUUUUGUUCAUUCACGGUGCAUCAUUCCUUCACAAAUAUCUGUUAUGCUCUUGAUGCGAUAGACAGAGUUUUUAAUGACAAGCAUGGACUAGCUGGGAAACGUGACUUACAGCCUGAAGAAAGCAUAAAAGCAGAUCCUUUUGGAAGAGCCUUGACUGAUGA